CUCUGGGCUCAUAUAAGGGCUGGUCACUGAAGGGAGAGCACCUCUUAGGCCUAGGCUGCUUCCUGAGAGGAUGUGAUGCACAGCUAGAGAGCCUCUUCACAGCUGGGGUUCCUUGUUCCUGGUUUACCACUGUGUGGCGGAUUAUGCCUGGAAGUUGUUGUCUAUUCCUGGACUGUGCCUUGCAGUACAGACCUGAACCCUACUACGGUCUUGUUUAGAGCAGCUUCUUCUAUCAGGGUAUAAAGAACAAUUAACAAUAUCAGAAAGGAAAUGAAAGGACUUGUUGAUCAUUCUGUCUGACCUCUUGUUUCCCUGAAGGGGUGGAUUUUACAUUUUGUUCCAAAUCUAACCAUCAAAUUCUAAGAACCACUUCACAUUCCUGUUUGCUUUCUGGGACUGACACUGUGCAGGAAAGCCCAUGAAGCCAUGGAGAACUUCACAUUUAUUAUGCUUUAUUUUACAGUAUUACAGUAUGCACACGGUGUCUUGCAUUUGCCAUGAUGAAUAAAGUAACAAACUUCCAGGGAUAAUGAAACUUGAUCUGUAUCACUUUAAAGGCAUUUUAUGAGUUAGCCAAGCCAGUAUCACUGUACCCAGUAAUGUAAUGUAAGUCACCAGCAUUUUUCCUUCAGUCUGGUCUUUGAGCAUUAGAUUAAAAGGCUCAGACUGAAAUAUUAAGUGUUCCAGAAAGAAGUGCUGUCAGGUUCUGGGAUUUAAAAAAAUUUUUUAAAAAAUUUCUAAUUAACUUCACACCAAAACCAGGAUUGAGAUUUUGUACAGAAUACUUAAGUAUUGUUAGCUUCCUUAUUGUUGUUAGGAUAGUGCUGUCAAUCAUAGCUUUGCUCUGACCUUCUAUCAGCCAAAUUGUAAAUAGCGAGAACAUUACACAAUGCUGGAGAAAUUAACCUUAAGUACACCUUAAGCUUUCAUCUGAUCAAAUAAUUCCCCAGAAUAGAAUGCUAAUUAACAUUACCAGUAAUAGACUCAGGUUUGUCUGUAUUUGCCACUGGCUGAUUGAAGCUAUUUCAGAAACAUUCCUGAGCUGAAAUAGUCACAAACCUGAAAUACAGUGGUCACUUUGAAAAAUUCAGUUCAUCUAACCUUUGGCAUCUAUGGAAUAAAUGUUUACAACAAAGCUUACCAUGCCAAGUUCUCUUCAGUAGAAGAUGAG